rnacentral:lncRNA from 1 species
AAUGAGCACGGCGAGAUGAAAGAAUGGGCAAGAUUUUAUUAUUUCAAGUCUUGUUUGUUUUGUCAUGUUGAAAGGGUCUACCGAAGCUGCUGGAGGAGAAGGGUCCCUGAUGGACGUACCCAGCACUGGACCAUGCAUGCUAUGAACUUGCCAGGCAAGUGCAAGCUGUUAUAGAAGAGUGAGCGCCACCAUCGUAUCUCGCCACCCUAGCUUCCCGUCUGGCCACGUAGCCUCCCCCUCUUGCCAUCUUCUAGCCGUUUUCGUCCACCAUGAUGCUGUAUAGCCACAGAGGACCCCCACCUGAGAGGACACAAUUCUGUUUGGACUUUCUGCUUCCAACACUUCAAGCUCAACACACCUCUUUCCUUUAUCAAGUACCCAGCCAUGGGUCUUUUGUUUUAACAACAGAAAAUGAACCCUUAAUUACUACUGGUGCUAUUGCUUGUGGGGUGUAUGUGGGGCCUAUUUAUUGCGAGUAUUUUCCCUGGGUCUUCGGGAGUCUAAUGC